rnacentral:misc_RNA from 1 species
GCAUCCUGAUCCCAACAAUGAAAAUAUGGUUGGUUAUAACAACAAGAAAUGCUGGCCAAGGGACGCAAGAAUGAGGCUCAUGAAGCAUGAUGUUAAUCUUGGGAGAAGUGUCUUCUGGGACAUGAAGAAUCGACUGCCUAGAAGUAUCACUACUUUGGAGUGGGAAAAUAGCUUUGUCUCUGUAUAUAGCAAAGAUAAUCCUAACUUGCUCUUCAGCAUGUGUGGGUUUGAAGUU